GAUUCAAUUAUCCCUAUUUAGCAAAAUUGUCUAUAUGGAUAAUUAAUUAUUGCGCACUAAUCAAUCAUACACAAGGACUAUAACAAUUAAAAGCAGAAAACAUAUAAAUACCAAUAAAUGAAGAAAAUAAUUAAAAACGGUUUAGAUCUCACAGUAGCUGCUGAACCAAUUCAUCAGUUGCCCCCUUGACUAGAAUUAGAGAAUUAGCCCUCCAUUUAUGGAGGACCAACUGCACAUGGAGAUUUAGGAAAAGUCGCCGAAUCGGACCUUUUACUUUCGAUCAAGAACAGAAGACAAGAACAAGGAAUUUUGAUUUCUCUCAGUUGUCUCCAAAAGCCCAAAUGUACAAGAGUCAGAUUGUUCACUUCAAUUCUCUCUAACAAAAGUAAAAGCAAUAGCCAAGAUAAGUCAACAACGGCGGCUCUUCCUCCCGAUUUGUUGCUUGCCAAACUCCUAAUCAAACGUGCAUCCGGCUUUCUCUUUUUCCCAAAGAGUCACGACUCUUUCCUUGUUUUUUGGCUGAAGUCCUAAUCAAACGGUACUCUGGCUUCCCUUAUUCUUUUUAUUUCCUAAUUGAAGUCUACUACCAAAUAAAACUAGUCUCCUAAAUAGGAAAAGAAAUCAUAAAAGAAAAUAUUCCAAGUUUUCUAAUCCAAUAUUAAAACUACUAAUGAAGAUUAAAAUCUUCAAAAUCUUCCUUCAAAAAUUGCCUUGAAUUCGACUCAGACUUGGAAACCAACCCCAAAC
rnacentral:lncRNA from 1 species